rnacentral:rRNA from 1 species
CGUAGGCGGCUUGGCAAGUGGAUGGUGAAAUCCCUCGGCUUAACCGAGGAACUGCCGUCCAAACUGCUUUGCUUGAGGCCGGGAGAGGCGAGUGGAAUUCCCAGUGUAGCGGUGAAAUGCGUAGAUAUUGGGAGGAACACCAGUGGCGAAGGCGGCUCGCUGGACCGGUUCUGACGCUGAUGCGCGAAAGCGUGGGAGCAAACG